GACGAACGCUGGCGGCGUGCUUAACACAUGCAAGUCGAACGGAAAGGCCUGCUUUCCCUUGUGGAUUGCGGGUACUCGAGUGGCGAACGGGUGAGUAACACGUGAGUGAUCUGCCCCCAACUUGGGUAUAAGCCUGGGAAACUGGGUCUAAUUCCCGAUAGGACUGCAGGGUGGUGCCUGUGGUGGAAAACGAUUUUCUAGUGGUUGGGGAUGAGCUCGCGGCCUAUCAGCUUGUUGGUGGGGUAAUGGCCUACCAAGGCGGCGACGGGUAGCCGGCCUGAGAGGGUGGACGGCGACAUUGGGACUGAGAUACGGCCCAGACUCCUACGGGAGGCAGCAGUGGGGAAUAUUGGACAAUGGGCGGAAGCCUGAUGCAGCGACGCAGCGUGGGGGAUGACGGCCUUCGGGUUGUAAACUACUUGAGACCGCGAGGAAGCCACCUGGUUGGAAGGGUGGUGACGGUAGUGGUAGAAGAAGCACCGGCUAACUACGUG
rnacentral:rRNA from 1 species